rnacentral:rRNA from 1 species
GAGUUUGAUCAUGGCUCAGAUUGAACGCUGGCGGCAGGCCUAACACAUGCAAGUCGAGCGGAUGACGGGAGCUUGCUCCUUGAUUCAGCGGCGGACGGGUGAGUAAUGCCUAGGAAUCUGCCUGGUAGUGGGGGACAACGUUUCGAAAGGAACGCUAAUACCGCAUACGUCCUACGGGAGAAAGCAGGGGACCUUCGGGCCUUGCGCUAUCAGAUGAGCCUAGGUCGGAUUAGCUAGUUGGUGGGGUAAUGGCUCACCAAGGCGACGAUCCGUAACUGGUCUGAGAGGAUGAUCAGUCACACUGGAACUGAGACACGGUCCAGACUCCUACGGGAGGCAGCAGUGGGGAAUAUUGGACAAUGGGCGAAAGCCUGAUCCAGCCAUGCCGCGUGUGUGAAGAAGGUCUUCGGAUUGUAAAGCACUUUAAGUUGGGAGGAAGGGCAGUAAGUUAAUACCUUGCUGUUUUGACGUUUA